GAUUGUGAGGGCGAUCUGGCUGCGACCAGCUGUCCCCAUUGAUUUCCGCCAGGGUUGAUUCGGCUUGAAUCUUGCUUGGCUAGGCGGUUUGUUCCCUUCCUCCCUCACCGCUCCAUGUGCGUCCUCCCGAAGCUUGCACACGUCGUGUCGAAGGAGGAGACAUGGCCCCGAUAGAGGAAGGACGGUUCUUCGGUCAAGGGUAUACGAGUCUGCGCUUCCCCUGCUAGAACGCUCCAAACAAGCUCUCAAGACCUAUUCCCUAUUUUUUCCACAACAAUUUAGUAUUUGCUCUAUCCACACUCCUUAUAUUUUUAUAGGCCAACUAGUUAUGCCUCUUU
rnacentral:snRNA from 1 species